rnacentral:antisense_RNA from 1 species
UAAGGCGCGACAUUGCUCACAUUGCUUCCAGUAUUUUUUUAUUAGCCGGCUCGGGUGCCGGCUACUUUUU